rnacentral:tRNA from 1 species
GCCUGGAUGGCUCAGUCGGUUGAGCGUCCGACUUUGGCUCAGGUCAUGAUCUCACAGCGUGAGUUCGAGCCCCACGUCGGGCU